UGGGUCGAAAUUGAAGCUCUAUGCUCUGUAUAAACAUCAUGCAGCAAGAUGAAGGCGCCGUUGCGUCUGGCCUGUGAUGUAUUGCUCCCUUUGGUCGUUGCAGAGCAGUAGGAGAGGAUUAGAGAUGUACUGUAGUAGUGCUGUAUGCAAGUGCGAGUACCACCAGACUACCAGUAUAGCACGCACUAGCAGUGUAGGAAUGCAGCGAACUGUGCUAAUAUGAAAGUUCCAUGUGCUCCUUUGUAAGGGACUAGCUGUAGUCUUGCUAGUAAUCUCUCUCUCAGGAAGGUUUGAUACAGGGUAGCAAUUACAACCAGAGGUUACAAGCGAAUUGGGGAAGAACAGGGAAGAACUGGAGGUAGGGGGAAGAGAGGAAGGUAGCCGCCGCCGAGCCGUCCGUGAUCCACUGGAUGAGCAGAGCGUUGCCUUCUCCCUGGUACUUGUAGUCUGCGGCGCUCGAUGAUCUCUCGAUGGGCCAGACCCAUGUACCGGUCCAGGGGCAAGCCCAGGUACCUGCCAGGGGAGGGCUCCUGACAUCCCUCCCUUCUUGACUUCGGCUUGACCCCAGCCGACACCAUCUAGAACCGCCCGGAUCCCAUUGCACUUGAUGAUGCUUGACUUGGUUGUCGUCACGAUCGAAGCCAGAGAGGACUUCAACGAAGUAGGAACGGUAGUUGCGGCCGAUGGGAGCCCCGCCGAAGGUGUCCAGGAAGUAGUCAUUUUCAGCACAGUCGUGGUCGAAGCUGAGAAAGUAGUACUCAUGGUUGACAGAGCCUUGCACGAAGACGACAGCAAUGGUGAUGGUACCCCUCGCUUCUUGAAAAUGCCCUUGAUUGUAGCAGGUAGAAGGCACUAGGUCCCUCACGGCCAAUGUUGUUGUAGAACACUUGAGAGACUCACACCACCAUGAUCUCAUGAAACUUGUUGUACCUUGAGUCGAUUGGAAUCCAGGCAGUUGAUGAAGUGAAAUAUCACUGGCGUGGAUGAGGUAGUGGACCACCAAGAUGAUGACACACACCGCUCUUGAGAAGACCACUCGGUGAGCCACUUCCAUUGACAACCGCAAUGCCAGUCCUCCAGGAUCCCAAGAACAGCCCCGCUGGUACAAGCCCAAGUCAGAUUUCAUCAUACCAAUGUUACAGGUGCGUUGAGAAACUGAACAAAGCCAAAACAGGAAGCACAUGCUGUUGUAGGCAUCAAGUUGCGUGUUGGAAAUGACCAGCUGACAGGUCAGGAAUAGUAGAAGCUCAUAUGACACAUGCCGUACUGGAAGUUCACUCGUCAGACAACCAUUGGCGCUAGACAGCUGAUAAAAAUCCUUGACGUCCGAAUGACAAUGAUCUUGUUCACAGAUAGCUCAAGAAUAAUCUAAAUGACAACGAUCUUGUUGAGCCGCUGAGCAAGAGUGGACAGGUGCGCCUGCUGUACUGAAAGCCACCUGGGACGUGUCACUGACAGAGAGAAUAUCAUCUUGUUCAGAACUGCACGCCCAAACAUGAUCAUAUUGUUUAGGAAUGCCCACUGAAUUCCAUUGCUCCUCACCUGGAUCCCAUGGGCAACCAAAAGCACUAAAGGGAUAGACAUGAGCAAGAUCAGAAUGCAGCGACUCCAAAUAGAUAGCAAAUUCGGACUCCAAGCCUGCCAUGCUCACAAUCUGAAUUGUCCUCUGCAAUUUGUCACCGCUAGGCAUACUACCUACAGCAACAUGUUCCGGAGUCAAUGGUUUCUGGACCAGUAUUUGGCUGCAACAUUCUGGACUAGAGAGUUUAACAUUAGAUGUUCCCUGUUCCAGUAGACACAAAGACUGCCAGCGUGUACCCUCUUGUUCAUAACUGCAUUCUUUAGCAAAACCAUCACUGCUUUCAAAUUUCUCUCGACUCAAAAUUUGCCACUGCACUGACAUUUUCAUGAUCCGCAUUUUUGAAUCGAUCUCUCUACGAACCAUGUGACAAUUAAAGCAUCUCUUGUCCUGCAAUAGAUUACUAGCCUUGCUUGAUAUAAGAUACUGGCAACCAUAUUUUCCCAAUGCUUCAGUACCGGCAGUACAGUCCAUAAUGUACAGCCUGAUUAGAAUCCUUUGUUGUAUCUCCAUCAACUUAAGAAUAUACCAAUCAUGAUUCUCAGGAAGCUUGGCAAGGGAAAACAGAAAAGUUUUGUGGACAGCGUGUAAUUGCCAUUGAAUUUGGUAGCCCUUUCCAUGCUUAUACGUUGACCACUCCAACGAAUCAAUGAAUCAACAAUAUGCAAAAUAGGUGCCCAAAUAUGCAGACAUAGGCCACUGAAUAAAGGCGUGUCGAUGACCGUGAUUGAAAUAGGCAAUGACUACAUCCGAAAUAAUAUGUGAUGCAAGAUUUGAUGCAAGAUUUCCACCCUUCAAAUAAUCGGCCAAUGAAGGGAUGGUUGCUGAGGCACGGUGGUCACUCAAACUCCUCGCGUCCGAGCACCACAUAGCAAUAGGACUAUGAAAAGCAGAUAUACCAAUGCAACCAGGAAAAUGGAAGGAAUUAACAAACCAUUGAAGUGUCUUGUAUGCAGGCAGAGAAGUAGUUGUGUUGCAGAGACUAUCAAGGGACCCAGCAUGGAGAGCCAAAUUACACUUCAGUAGUACUUGAGAAUCUGCUAUCCCCUUGUCAAGAAAGAUCAUAACCGGACCAGUAGCAAAACAGGUAGCGAAAUCCGUCAAACAUCUUGGUAUUGGGAGUAACCAUUUUUGCACUUUGCUCCAUACCAUUGGCUGAUAGUCAGGUGGCCACCACACAUAGCCAGUAUCAUCAUUCGCAACUAUGCCAACGACCUGAAUAUUAUCGUCCAUUGCAAUCUGCACUCGAAUUGGAGGCGGCCAUGGUUGCUGCUUGAUCCACUUCCGUACUGGUGGCAGGGACCAAGUUUUGCUCUUGUCCACAAGAUGAACAGGCUGCACCCAGUCGCCAUCCUGGACUAGACAAUCUGUCGAACACAUGGUCCGCACCGGUGGAGCAGGGUCGCUAGGGAUGAUGAGGGCGAGGUCGUGGUCCGCCUUGCUCAUCACUUGAGUGGAGCUGUCGACAGAGAGGGCAUUGAGCUCCUGCACGCCGGCCUUGGGGUCGACGUCGGUGGUGGUCGUCACGGGAGAAACGGCCUCGGCACAAGAGGGAGUGUUGGUGCCGAUGGAGGCCGUUGCCUGCACCGGCACGUGCUGCUCGACUGCUUUGUGGAUGGGGUCGAUCAUGGGCUCCAGGUGGACGGCGGUAGCGGCGUCAUGGACCUCGUCGACGCUGUCGAUGGUGUCAACCUGGGUCGAGCACUCCGUCGAACAGGUGACGGGCACCAUCGUGAUGCACACCGGGGCUGCAUCAUGGGCGACCGUGGGAAUCUCCUGGGCCUUGGUGGUGGAGCCGGAGACGUCCGGGACGGGCGCCGACGUGUUGGUUGUGCUCUCCGGCGUAGUUGUCGCUGAUGGUGGGUUGUGGACGACGGCGGGUGAACUGGUGGCCCAACUGACGUCAAGGGCGUUCAGUUUCUCGGCGAGGGCCCUGGUGGCAUUGGUGUAGGCAUCGAGCCUGGCGCCGAGCCGCUCGAGAUACUCCUAGAGCAACAGAUCCAUGGUCGAUUCCAUCGGAUGGUGGUGGUGGAAAAAAUUUGGGGGAAGAAUUUGGGGAAGGGGGGUGCCUGGCUCUGUAUACCAGAUGUAAGGGACUAGCUAUAGUCUUGCUAGUAAUCUCUCUCUUAGGAAGGUUUGAUACAGAGUAGCAAUUACAACCCGAGGUUACAAGCGAAUUGGGGAGGAACAGGGAAGAACUGGAGGUAGGGGGAAGAGAGGAAGGUAGCCGCCGCCGAGCCGUCCGUGAUCCACUGGAUGAGCAGAGCGUUGCCUUCUCCCUGGUACUUGUAGUCUGCGGCGCUCGAUGAUCUCUCGAUGGGCCAGGCCCAUGUACUUGCCAGGGGAGGGCUCCUGACAUCCUUGGUCUCCUCGCCGGUUGCACUCG
rnacentral:lncRNA from 1 species